rnacentral:siRNA from 1 species
UUGUGGCCAUUUUAUACCUCA